GCGCCUCUAGCUCAAUGGCAGAGCAACGGACUCUUAAUCCGCAGGUUCUGGGUUCGAAUCCCAGGGGGCGCACCG
rnacentral:tRNA from 1 species